GAGAGCCGUAUGCGCUGAAAGGUGCACGUACGGUUCGGAGAGGAGAGGCGGAGAAAUAGUUCGACUACGCUCUGUCUCUUACUCUAC
rfam:Photobacterium sp. 13-12 scaffold39, whole genome shotgun sequence.